AGUGAACGCUGGCGGUAGGCCUAACACAUGCAAGUCGAACGGCAGCACAGUAAGAGCUUGCUCUUACGGGUGGCGAGUGGCGGACGGGUGAGGAAUACAUCGGAAUCUACUUUUUCGUGGGGGAUAACGUAGGGAAACUUACGCUAAUACCGCAUACGACCUACGGGUGAAAGCAGUGGAUCUUCGGACCUUGCGCGAUUGAAUUAGCCGAUGUCGGAUUAGCUAGUUGGCGGGGUAAAGGCCCACCAAGGCAACGAUCCGUAGCUGGUCUGAGAGGAUGAUCAGCCACACUGGAACUGAGACACGGUCCAGACUCCUACGGGAGGCAGCAGUGGGGAAUAUUGGACAAUGGGCGCAAGCCUGAUCCAGCCACACCGCGUGGGUGAAGAAGGCCUUCGGGUUGUAAAGCCCUUUUGUUGGGAAAGAAAAGCAGCAGGUUAAUACCCGGCUGUUCUGACGGUACCCAAAGAAUAAGCACCGGCUAACUUCGUG
rnacentral:rRNA from 1 species